rnacentral:rRNA from 1 species
UACAGAGGGAGCAAGCGUUGUUCGGAAUUACUGGGCGUAAAGGGCGCGUAGGCGGUCCUAUAAGUCCCGCGUGAAAUCCCCCGGCUCAACUGGGGAACUGCGCGGGAAACUGCAGGGCUUGAGUUCGGGAGAGGGAAGCGGAAUUCCGGGUGUAGCGGUGAAAUGCGUAGAUAUCCGGAGGAACACCGGUGGCGAAGGCGGCUUCCUGGACCGACACUGACGCUGAGGCGCGAAAGCUAGGGGAGCAAACGGG